GGAGACUUACUUGAACCCAGGAAGUGGAGGCUGCAGUAAGCUGUGAUCAUGCCUCUGCACUCCAGCCUGGAUGACAGAGUGAGACCCCA
rnacentral:pre_miRNA from 1 species